AGAGUUUGAUCCUGGCUCAGAAUGAACGUUGGCGGCGUGGAUUAGGCAUGCAAGUCGAACGGGCCGCAAGGCCAGUGGCGGAAGGGUGAGUAAGGCGACGGUAACCAACCCCAUGGUUGGGUAUAGCCGCGGGAAACUGCGGGUAAUCCCCAGCGACGUCCGAGCCGGGCAUCCGGCGCGGACCAAAGUCCUGGCGCCGUGGGACGGGCCGUCGUGGUAUUAGGUCGUUGGCGGGGUAAUGGCCCACCAAGCCUCUGAUGCCUACCGGGCGUGCGAGCGCGACCCGGCACACUGGGACUGAGACACUGCCCAGACUCCUACGGGAGGCUGCAGUCGAGAAUCUUCGGCAAUGGGCGCAAGCCUGACCGAGCGACGCCGCGUGGAGGAUGAAGGCCUUCGGGUUGUAAACUCCUGUCGAGGGGGAGGAAGGUCGGGCAACCGGCUUGACCGAUCCCUGGAGGAAGCACGGGCUAAGUUCGUGCCAGCAGCCGCGGUAAGACGAACCGUGCGAACGUUAUUCGGAAUCACUGGGCUUAAAGCGCGUGUAGGCGGAUGGGUACGUCGGUCGCUGAAAUCCCCCGGCUCAACCGGGGAACGGGCGCCGAAACGACCCGUCUCGAGGGACGUAGGGGGACCUGGAACUUCCGGUGGAGCGGUGAAAUGCGUUGAGAUCGGAAGGAACGCCCGUGGCGAAAGCGAGGUCCUGGACGUCUACUGACGCUGAGACGCGAAAGCUAGGGGAGCGAACGGGAUUAGAUACCCCCGUAGUCC
rnacentral:rRNA from 1 species